UACGAAGGUGGCGAGCGUUACUCGGAAUGACUAGGCGUAAAGGGCAGGUAGGUGGUUUGGUAAGUCUGCUGUGAAAGCUCCUGGCUUAACUGGGAGAGGUCAGCAGAUACUGUCAGGCUUGAGUAUGGGAGAGGGUACUGGAAUUCCCGGUGUAGCGGUGAAAUGCGCGGAUAUCGGGAGGAACACCAAUGGCGAAAGCAGGUGCCUGGACCAUUACUGACACUAAGCUGCGAAAGCUAGGGGAGCAAACAGG
rnacentral:misc_RNA from 1 species